GCCUGGCCUUGUUUACAAGAAACCACGGACAAAAAAAGGAGCAUUUAAGGCUGGGCACGGUAGCUCGCGCCUGUAAUCCCAGCACUUUUGGAGGCCGAGGUGGGUGGAUCACCUGAGGUCAGGAGUUUGAGACCAGCCUGAUCAACCAAUGAAACCCUGUCUCUACUAAAAAUACAAAAUUAGUCAGGUGUAGUGGCACACGCCUGUAAUCCCAGUUACUUGGGAGGCUGAGGCAGGAGAAUCACUUGAACCCGGGAGGCGGAGUUUACAAUGAGCCAAGAUCAUGCCAUUGCACUCCAGCCAGGGCUAUAAGGCGAAACUCCGUCUCAAAAAAAAAAAAGGAGCAUUUACAUUUAAACCAAAUGUAUUUGUCCAACAAGGGAAUGGGAUGGGGGUGUGGAGGGGGGAGAGUUUAUCAUGAUAGUGAGUAUUCAGGCAGAGGCUAAGUUUUCACUUGGCUGAAGGCUCUAGAAAGGGUCACAUGGACAGAUGCCUCCUAUCAGUCCUUCUAAGUGUGAACUUCCACGUAAGGUUCCCUUAGUCACCUCUGAGCACUUACUUUGUGUCAAGUUCUCGGUAAGGCUCUGAGGACCCAGAAACAAAUGAGACAAGGUCAUGGUUACUCAACUGAAAUGCUGAAGCAGGAUAGAGAAAGGCUGAGCUCUGGAAACAGGAGGCUGGAGUUUAAUUCCUAGCUCUGUUAUUUCGUAGCUGUGCAUCACUGGAGAUGCCACUUGGCCUCUGGUUCUGUUUCCUCAUUUAUGAACUAGGAACAACAGUUAUCUUCAUAGAUUACAGGAACCCAAUGACAAAAUACACCUGGAGCAUUUGUAGCACAGUGCCUGGUAUGUAGUAAGCAUGUUAUUUUAUUAGUAGUAAUAUUUUUAUGAUGACCUUGGAUAAGUCACUUCAUUUUUCAAAGCCUCAGCUUUCUCAUCCAUAGGAUGGAGUUAACACUGACAUCACGGGGUUGGAAUCUUGCUGUGUCGUGGGGUCGGGAGCUGCCAUUUCGUCUCUCCGCUUCCUCCUGGGAUAAGUGGGUCGCAUCAUGCCCACUUGAUCGCGGACGGAAACCAGCCCCGUUCAGCGCAAAGGAGGAACCUGAAUUAACAAGGACGCGAUUUGCUGGCUGCGCUCCCGGGAGUGUUCUGAACUCCAACAUGAAGUGACUUGAAUGUGAGAAGCGACUCAGUCAGUGAUGGCAUUCAGGGAAGCUGCUUUUAAAACCACCUAGGUUGGUUCAUACAUAGCAAGCUGCUGGCACUUCCUUAGCCCCAUACCCCCUGAUUGGUCCCCACCCCAUCCUGCCAUCGGCCUGUUUACCGUGUUGGCUUUUUGGUGAAGAGACUGCACAGGGCAGAAAAAUUAUUAAAAUCCUUCCUGGCUUUUUUCCUGAACAAUCCUGAAUGCUACUUCAGCAAUUAUAGGAGGAAAAAUAAAAUUAUUUUCCCCUUGCUUCCUAUAUAAUUUAGGACCACUAGAAAACUCUGUGAUCCCAAGUUAUUCUGUUUCUCUCUGAUACCAAUUUUUCUGAUAACAGAAAAUUAUCCCUGUGUAUACUUUAGUAAAGGGUCUGAGGGUGGUUUUUCUAGAGACUGAGAAUGACCCAGAGUUGUUUCAGUUUGAAUCAUUUCUAUUGUUCUGCUUCCACAUUUCACUGACUCUUUCCUCUGUCAUCUCCAUUUUGUCCUUAAGCCCAUUCAGUGAAUUAAAAAAAUUCAGAUACUGUAUUUCUGUUCAAAAAUUUCCACUUAAAUUUUUUUUUCAGUUUCUCUUCUGAGAUUUACUGUUUUCUCCUUCAUUUUGAGCAUAUUUUCUUUUUUUUUUUUCUUUUUUGAGACGGAGUCUUGUUCUGUCGCCAGGCUGGAGUGCAGUAGCUGAAUCUCGGCUCACUGCAAGCUCUGCCUCCCGGAUUCAAGCGAUUCUCCUGCCUCAGCCUCUCAAGUAGCUGGGACUACAGGCGCGCGCCACAACACCCGGCUAAUUUUGUAUUUUAGUAGAGACGGGGUUUCACCAUGUUGGUCAGAAUGGUCCCGAUCUCCUGAUCUCGUGAUCCGCCUGCCUCGGCCACCCAAAGUGCUGAGAUUACAGGCAUGAGCCACCGUGUCCGGCCUUGAGCAUAUUUUCUUUUACUUCAUUGAUCUUAGUUAUAAUAGCUCUGUUAAUAUCUUUGUCUGAGAAUUUCAGCAUCUGGGUUGUCUUGGAGUUGCCCUCUGCUGAUUGUCUUUUCCUUUGCAAAUUGCAAAUGGGUUUAAUUUUUCUAGGUGUUUUUUGUUUGUUUGUUUGUUUUUGUUUUGUUUUGUUUUGAGACAGGGUCUCACUCAGUCGCCCAGGCUGGAGUGCAGUGGUGUGGACAUGGCUCACUGCAGCCUUGACUACUGGGCUGAAGUGAUCCUCCUGCCUCAGCCUCUCAGGUAGCUGGGACCACAGGCAUGUAUCACCACACCUGGCUAAUUUUUUAAAAUUUAUUUUCAUUUUUUGUAGAGACAGUGUCUCACUGUGUUGCCCAGGCUGGUCUCAAAAACACUUUGGGCUCAGAUGAUCCUCCUGUCUUGGCCUCCCAAAGUGCCAGGAUUACAGGCAUGAGCCACCGUGUCCAGAUGCUUUUUCUAGUUCUUUAUGUAAUUUGGGAUUGUAUUCUUCACACUGUGAAUGUUGUAUUGUGGAGACUUUGGUUUCUGUUGAUGUUUUUAAUUUAGUAGACAAUAACUCAGACUCAAAACUGCAAACUCUGUCUCUGUCACACCUGCAGUGGGUCGCAGUUCAAAUUUCAGUUCAGUUCUUUUCUCUUUAACUGAGGUCUUUGGAUUCUGCCCUAUGCUUGCAUGGCUCAGGGUUCAGCCAGAGACUGGGUAGAAUUUACACACAGAAUCUGAGACUCUCCUUUUCUAGCUCUUUUUUUUCUUACUUCCAUGAUCUGUGGCUGCUCUGGGCUAUUUCUUCAGGACAGAAAGCCUAGGGUUUGUUUUUUGAUUGGAACUUCAGCUAGACCAGCCUCAGGCUAGAGAUCCAAAAAUGAGGAGUUCGUUCCAUGUCAGCCCUUUCUUCCAACUUUCAACUUACUUUCAAAAUCUGCCAGCCCUUGUUCACUUCACAUAGUUUUUGUGUUUUAUCCAGAGUAUAGUUGUUGUCUGUGGGAGGGUCAUGCUGAAAGCAGAAUUUCGUACUGACAUUUUUAUCUAUUAUCAAAGUGUUUGGGGGACAAAAAUGUUCACUUGAGCUUGUUUUGUAAGCUUGGGCAAGUCUCCUUUCCUCUCUGGGACCCACUUGCUCCUCUGGGAAAUGAGGUGGUUGGACUCUGUGAUCUGUAAGGAUCCUUCAGUCUCUUCUUCUAGGCAGACAGACACGUACACACAUACUACCACCACUAUCACCACCAACAGUAACAGAAACAAUAAGUGCCAGAAGAGAUGCUUGAGGGAAGUGAUGAGGAUGGAUCUGUCAUGGUGGAAAGCUCUCUGAAGCGGCAUCACUAAGGAAUUUGAGAAUGUUUACAGUCAUCCUCUUGUUUUGGGGACAGAGGGCAACUACGCUGAGGAAGCAAGAAGUAAAUGGCAUUCAGAAGAAAGAAAUCAGUUGCUGCUUACUUCUACCCCUUAGAAAUAUGAGAGAACGUAGACAGUUGAAAACAAAUCAGGAUUAGCUGGAGUUCCUCUUUCCUUUUGGCAGUGCAUUCUGUCUUGUUUUGAAGAGAAAAGCCCCUGGGCCUUAGUAACAUGUCAGCAAAUUUGGCAGUAGGUGGUAGGUGCUGGGACAGUAGAUUUUAGCAGGGGCGCUAUCACUGUUAGGGCUGCAGAGACCUUAGGGGAGAUAGACCAGAUUUAUGUGACCAUUUCUUAGAGUUCAGAAUUUUUAUGUAGGAGAGGUUUUAGGCUAUGCAGAAGAAGAUGAGUGUGUGUGUGGGGGGCGGUGUUUGUGUGUGGGUGUUGUGUGUGUAAGGUGGGUGGGGAGGGGGAAAGAGACAGGUGGUGAUGGGGUAGGACGGAAAGUCUGUGGAACUGUCCUAAAACUAUUUGAAUACCAAUCACACUUACUUUAACUUCCAUUGAUUAUUUUUUAAAAGCAGAGGGUGGAGAGCUAAAGAUUCCCCCACAUCCACCUAAGCUAUCUCUUGGGUGCCGCCUUGGUAUAGAUCGUUUUUAAAAUUAUUUUUAAAGAUAGAGCGUCACUCUGUCAUCUAAGCUGGAGUGCAGUAGGACAACUGUGGCUCACAGCAGCCUCAAACUUCUGGGCUCCAGGUGGUCCUCCCGUCUCAGUCUCCCAAGUAGCUAGGACUAUAGGUGUGCAUCACCAUGCCCAGCUAAUUAAAAAAAAAUUUUUUUUUGUAGAGAUGGGGGCCUUGCUUUGUUGUUGUCCAGGCUGUUCUUGAACUCCUGGGUUCAAGCAAUCCUCCUGCCUUGGCCUCCCAAAGUGCUGGGAUUAUAGGCAUGAGCCACUGUGCCUGGCCUAGAUCCUUUUU
rnacentral:lncRNA from 1 species